GAUGAACGCUGGCGGCGUGCUUAACACAUGCAAGUCGAACGGGAGAAGAUCGGUGCUUGCACUGAUCCGAUCGAGUGGCGGACGGGUGAGUAACGCGUGGGUAACCUGCCUCAUACAGGGGAAUAACAGUUGGAAACGGCUGCUAAAACCGCAUAAGCGCACAGUAUCGCAUGAUACAGUGUGAUAAACUCCGGUGGUAUGAGAUGGACCCGCGUCUGAUUAGCUAGUUGGUGAGGUAACGGCCCACCAAGGCAACGAUCAGUAGCCGGCCUGAGAGGGUGAACGGCCACAUUGGGACUGAGACACGGCCCAAACUCCUACGGGAGGCAGCAGUGGGGAAUAUUGCACAAUGGGGGAAACCCUGAUGCAGCGACGCCGCGUGAGUGAUGAAGUAUUUCGGUAUGUAAAGCUCUAUCAGCAGGGAAGAUAAUGACGGUACCUGACUAAGAAGCACCGGCUAAAUACGUGCCAGCCGCCGCGGUAA
rnacentral:rRNA from 1 species